GUUGUUGGUCUGCUCCAAACAGUUUCAUCCAACACUUUUCGCUGUCAGUCUGAACAUGAUCAGAAGCAUGCUGGAGUGUCUACUGAAGUGAAGUAGCUGUUUCAAGGAGGAGAUAAGUCAGCAUUGUCAUGGAUGUUGUGAAAGGAGAACAGUGAGUUCAGUAUUAUCAAUAGAUCUUCAAUUUUGCCUCUGAUUGAAGACAUGGAUAAACAGUGUGAAUAGAGUGGAAAUGAUAUUAAUAGAAAAUGUUUGGUCUAGUUACUUUGUCAUAUGAAACCACCAAACCUAUAGUGGUAUAUAGAUUUACGACAGACACUGUGAAAUAAUAAUGAUUCAUGACUUAAAAUUUUUCAUUUAACUCAAACCUAAGAGAAAUGCAAAGACAAGUAGUAAAACAAAUUUGAGUUAUCUCCCUUAGAAUGUCCAAUGAACUUAGUUGCAUGUAUUUGUAGAUAUUGAGGAUGUGGUGAACAUUGAUUUAAUUAUGUGGAAAGCUGUUAUCUUUUAACACUUUUGACAAAAUAAAAACAUUAAAAAUA